UAUUAUUUCAGGUCGAAAUAAAUGAUUAUGACAAGCCGAGUGUUUUUCUGGUGACCCGUGAAACAUUUCGACAACACUCAGGAUGGGGCUCAGUGAUGAGGAGCCUCAGCACGGCAGUAUGGAGGGCUCUGCUGCUUCAGUAGACGGUUGGAUGAAGAAUCAGUCAAAAAGGGCUAAGCAGCAUAGAGGAACUGCCAAAGGAAAGUUCACACGUAAGCUAGAAAAGUUUAAUGAGCAUGUGAAAGAUAAAGUUGCCUUAGAAAUAUUGGAAGAUAACUAUAAUUUGAUUGUUAAAGCUUUUGAGAAAGUUGAACUGGCAAAUGAAAGUUAUUGCAAUUUACUUGAUGAAGCUAAUGAUACUCAAGAGUUAAUUAAUGCAGAUAUGUACAUUAAGGAACUUGACGAUAAGAAAUGUGCUGCCCAUGUUUUAUUUGUAAAGAUGAAAGAUGAGAUGCAAAUGAAAGGGGCUAUCAAAGUGAAGCCUAUUGACAUACCAAAGUUUGAUGGAAAAAUCAGAGACUAUAGUAAUUUUAAAAGAGAUUAUGUCAGACUUAUGCAACCCAACUAUGGAAAAGACCCAUUUGCUCUUAGACAGUGUCUCUCAGGAGAAGCUUUAGUCUUUUCCUUGUGGGGCUGAGCAUGAUUUUGAUAAAAUGUUUGAACGGUUAGAUGACAUGUACAGUGACAGUAGACGAGUAAUUGAUGUAGUAAUUGAAGAUUUGAGAGAAAUUGAACCUGUAAUCGAGGGUGAUAGUUUAGGUUUCAUCCGAAUGGUAGACAAAAUUGAGCAACAUUUUCUUUAUCUGGAUCAGUUGGGUCUAUCUUCAGAACUUAAUACUGCCAAUAUGACAAGUCAGAUAGAGAAACUCUUGCCUCCAACUCAGAAGCGGGAAUGGAUCAAAAUAGCAGAAAAUGUUAAACCUGUUGAAUUAUUUAAGAAACUACUGGAAUACCUUUUGGGUGAAAAGAAAUGAAAGACCUCCUUCAAUAAUAUACAAUCUGCUAUUCGAGAUGCUCAUACACAAUUCCAGCAUCAAAAAACGACAAGAAAAAUAGAAUGUCUAAAUAUAAAACAGUUCCAAAUAUAAUAUCUGAGUCUCUGUUUACAAAUCAAGAUUCCCAUGCGUUACCAAAAUUUCCCAUCAUGCUCAGCACAAAAAAAAGAACUGGGACAUGCGUGAUAAAACAACAAAAAAGAAUAGAAUAUUAUUAGUUAAUACAAACUAAUGAUACAGAAAUGAAGCAGGGAUCAAAUGAAAAUUCACUGGAGGAUGAUGGAGCCAAAUGUGGAUUCAAGGGAGAGAGAGAGGUCAUAUUUGAAUGUAGGAGUUAUGUUCUUUGAAUGCACUUGAGGAUAAAGGGGACAAAUGUUAAUAAAAGAGAGGAGGAGACGAGGAAGUGGUCAUGGACGAUAAUUGGAAAAAGAAUGCAGGAGAGGAUAAUCUCAAAUUUGAAUACAGGAAAGGCGGAAGAGGGUCAAAGAUGAAUAGAGGAGAGGAGGAGAAGAAGGGGUUAGACAUGAAUGCAGGAGAUGUGGAAGAAGUCAAAUAUGUAUGUGGGAGAGUAGGUAUGAAUCAAAUCUGAAUGCAGAUGAAGGAGGAAGGAAGAAAGGACUGAGGAGGAAGAGGAGGAGGUGAAAGUCAAGGGAAAAGUGGAGGAAGUGACAAAGAUAAAGUGAAAAGGGUUUAAGACAAAUCAGGUAUAAGGAGAAGGGACUAAAGGUUUAGAAGUUUACUGGUCGCCAGUAAACCUCUAAACCUCAGUACAAGCACAAAAGCACAUGUCAUGACAUGGCCCAGUACCCUACUCUAACAAUGUGGAGGCGCAAUGAGACCAGGGUAUAGCUAAAGUAAACAAGACGACAAUCGCAGGUGUCCCAAGGACUUUAGUAUGUUCAUCAGAAGGACAGUAGUAUCUGGCAACAGCAGAAACUCUCUCGGGCAGCUCGUUCGAGUGGAUGAGUGAGCCUAAAUAUCGGGCCAAAUAGGAAGAUAUAUCUAAAACCUGUUACCUUCUUCAUAAAGGAUGCAGAAUGCAAUCUGUACACCACUGUUGGGCUAUGCUGAUUUACUGAUAAAUGUUUUUUUUACUUUAAUAUCUUAUUGAGAGCAUGUCUGAAACUAUGAGAAAGUUACGGAUAGCACAAUAGAAAUUUCCUUGAUUAGCAUUGGUAAGUUGAAGAAUAGUAAAAUAAUAACCUAAAUAAAAUUGUCUGUUAAUGAUGUAAUUCUAAUAAGUGGAUACCGCACAUGACUUUGGGAAAUAGGGGGCACUGAGGGAGAAACUUUUGCGGAAGAGGGACAAGAAAGGGUAAACCUUAGUCCAAAAGACCGGACCCUGGUGGUUCGUUUUCUUUCAGUAAGCAAGGAGACCUACUCCUUACGUUGGAACAUGUCUAAGAAUGGAAACCAGAAACUGAGACAGGAAGGGGCAUUGUCAAUGACCCAGAUACCGCUUUUUUAUAUAAACUAUUUACGUAGGUAAGAGGGAUUAUGUGCCAUCUCGAUUGUAGAAUAUUAGCCAAUCAAAGCAAGUAUAACCAUCUUCUGUAGUAUUUUUAAUUCUCAUUCAUAACAAAGCAAACCAAAUAAAAAAUAUUAGUGUGAUUACUAUCAUGCAAUGUUUUGGCUUAAGAUCAGCUGUCUCUUGUGGAUUUUAAACGUCUGGAGAGUGAUCCGGUUUUACAAAGCAUAUUCACUACAAUUACUCUGUGUAAAGGAGCAUAUAUUAUUCUGGGUAGUUUAUCCAAUUAAUAAGCAUACAUGUACAUACACAUGUAUUUAUCUAAAGAAAAGAGAGAAAAGAGAAUAAAAGAAAAUGGAAUAAAUGCUAUUAGCAUGCCCUACAUGUCCAAUGUCUCUCCUUAUUGCUUCGAAAAGGUAAUUACUAGGUUGGCCAGCAACAUUUCAACAUCCGGAUGUCCCUCCUAACUUCAAAAUUGCAUUCCUGUUCAGUAUAUCAGCACUUGUCCAGUAUUACAACCAUCAUGUAAUGUGGUUUAUAGGGAGUAAUCCUUUUUUGUAAGGAAGAAAAGAAAAGAAGAAAAAAAAAAAAAAAAACGAAGCAGGAUGUCAAUGAUUCAAAAAAAAAAAGUAAAGCAUCAGAAUCAUGGAACCCCGACUUGAAGCCAAUGAAGCCCAGUGUGACCAGCAAAAAGCAAGGAGUUACAUGAUCCGGUUUUACGUCACGACCUCGCUCGCAAGGAAGGGGAAGGUUUUAUCUAUCGAAGGACUUUGGAUUUGGGAGUGAAAGACUAUACCUCAAGUGGAUGAUGCCCUUCCUAACCACGGACCCUGGCUGGUUUCGAACUCAUAGGCUUAGCGACUUCUAAUCCUGUUUGUGUUAUCGCUGCACCACGGCGUCAAAAAAGAAAAAAAAAAAAAAAAAAAAAAAGAAGACGCUCUUUAUGCGACUAUAAGAUUAAUAGAUAAAGCACAGAUUCUGUUCCUGCUCUCUGACCAACUGUCAGUGAAGGACGUAUAUGUCAAGUUUUCAUCAUCAUGUGCCAUGAAGAGGUGAAAAGGCGGAAUCUGUAUAAUAAAAGCUUAUGGCAGAUUCGAUCAAGAAAGAAAUAUAACCUUACGAUCGCCGACAUACCUUAGUGCAUGGUGCAAAGAGACCGCUGUUCACUAAAACUGUUCUCUCUGAAUGAAUUGAGGCAGGCAUCACUGUCAUAAUUAAACCACAGUAUCACAUAAUCUGGAAAGGUGUGGUGUGAAAUAUGGUACCAUGGCGACUACCAGAAAAUACCUUGAUGUUUUACUGAACUUUUCUUGCUUACUUACAGAAAAGGAUCACCCAUUCUUUGUUUUUGCAAACCUUUUUUUUUCACCCAAGUAGCCGUUGGUGUUUACGUGUGGUGCACUGGCUCGAGAAAGCUACUUUCGCCUAAAAAUCAACAUGGGAAAUGUUGCUGGUCAGUCUUAUGUCAUUAAACAAAGAAGAAAAAAACAAAGGAAAAAAGAAAUAGAAGAAAAGAUAGAAAAAACAAAAAACAAAAAAAUAUUGGGCCCAAUGGAACACAAUUUAAAAGUAGUGUUAAACUAGAAUUCUUUAUUUAUAUUAUACUCUAUAGUAACUACACCAGUUUCUAAUGCUAUACUGGAUAUAUUGGAUAAGCUACCCAACAUGCGCAAAAGAUAGAAUUGUAUGUAUUUAUAAUGAUAUGAAUAAUUCUUAUGAAUAAAUAUCUAAGAUAGAUAUUUGGUGUUAUACACUAAUAUGGAUUGCUGAUUUUACCUCAAAAAUUUGUAUGGUGAUAAAGCUGGUUUAUUGCAGCAAUGUUAUUGAUGAAAGUGUUUAUAUGGUGAAAUGGAUAAGAUGAAAAUGGUUUGCAUAAAAAAUCAGUUUCACUACUAACUCUACAGUGGUUUUACCUCUGUAAGGUUUACUAUAUGGAGACACUUAAAUACAAUGAAACUAUCAUUGUCUGGAAAUCGUAAAUCACGCCGAGACUGGGUUUACUCUUCUUGUCACUAUUCCAGUAUCUUUAUGCAAGUCCUCAGUAUUUUUGCACAUAUUUAAUUUCUCAUCAAAUAUGCAGUGUUAUCUGCAUCUGCUACUUAUCUCUUUAUGGUCUCUGGGUUAGACUUCCUAUUCUUGCGACUUCGAUCUACGUUUCUUUAAACUCUUAAUCUCUUGUAGCUAUGAUGCUCAACACUACAGAAUGAUACAAGAAGAGAGCAGAAUGAGUUCUGCCUGUGACGAUACUACUGCUCUUCGUAAUGAGCGAAAUGACGUGUAGAAUAGACAGAAAUGUUAUGCAUCACAUCCUCAUCUCCUCAGUAUUAUUUACUUGAUACUAUACUUUCUGUUGCAGUUAUCGCAGUUCUACUUGUAUAUUAUCAUAAUUUAGUGGCGCAUCCAGACCUUCCUCCCGGUCCUUGCUUCCUCCAUCACCUGGAGUAGAAUGUGACACACCAAUGUUAUUUUAUUCGUUUAAAUGCAAUUGUUUUAUAAUAUAACAUCCUAGACGGAACUGAGAUGUGUGACAGAUAUAAUAAAUCUUUUCCGGAUGAAAUAUGUCUCACUGACUGGCUUUUGCGGGAUAAAGGAAAACUUUCUAUUUAGUCUCUUCUGUUCCGUCACUUUGGUUAUGAAAUGGAGUCUGACUGAUAUCGACUUUUCGGUCCGCUUCCUCCAACCCUUGCUGUGGGAGUGAUAUUGUAAAGGAUGACUUUAAUGCUGAUUGGAAAUAGGGGAGGGGGGGGGGGGGGAGCGAAAG